rnacentral:rRNA from 1 species
AUUGAACGCUGGCGGCAGGCUUAACACAUGCAAGUCGAGCGGGGUGAUGGUGCUUGCACUAUCACUUAGCGGCGGACGGGUGAGUAAUGCUUAGGAAUCUGCCUAUUAGUGGGGGACAACAUCUCGAAAGGGAUGCUAAUACCGCAUACGUCCUACGGGAGAAAGCAGGGGAUCACUUGUGACCUUGCGCUAAUAGAUGAGCCUAAGUCGGAUUAGCUAGUUGGCGGGGUAAAGGCCUACCAAGGCGACGAUCUGUAGCGGGUCUGAGAGGAUGAUCCGCCACACUGGGACUGAGACACGGCCCAGACUCCUACGGGAGGCAGCAGUGGGGAAUAUUGGACAAUGGGGGGAACCCUGAUCCAGCCAUGCCGCGUGUGUGAAGAAGGCCUUAUGGUUGUAAAGCACUUUAAGCGAGGAGGAGGCUCUUUUGGUUAAUACCCAAGAUGAGUGGACGUUACCCGCAGAAUAAGCACCGGCUAACUCUGUGCCAGCCGCCGCAGUAA